rnacentral:rRNA from 1 species
CGGCGAGUGAAGCGGCAAAAGCUCAAAUUUGAAAUCUGGCGUCUUCGACGUCCGAGUUGUAAUUUGAAGAAGGCGACUUUGUAGCUGGUCCUUGUCUAUGUUCCUUGGAACAGGACGUCAUAGAGGGUGAGAAUCCCGUGUGGCGAGGAUCCCAGUUAUUUGUAAAGUGCUUUCGACGAGUCGAGUUGUUUGGGAAUGCAGCUCUAAGUGGGUGGUAAAUUCCAUCUAAAGCUAAAUAUUGGCGAGAGACCGAUAGCGAACAAGUACAGUGAUGGAAAGAUGAAAAGAACUUUGAAAAGAGAGUGAAAAAGUACGUGAAAUUGUUGAAAGGGAAGGGCAUUUGAUCAGACAUGGCGUUUGCUUCGGCUUUCGCUGGGCCAGCAUCAGUUUUAGCGGUUGGAUAAAUCCUCGGGAAUGUGGCUCUGCUUCGGUAGAGUGUUAUAGCCCGUGGGAAUACAGCCAGCUGGGACUGAGGAUUGCGACUUUUGUCAAGGAUGCUGGCGUAAUGGUUAAAUGCCGCCC